rnacentral:rRNA from 1 species
CGGUGGAUGCCUUGGCAGUCAGAGGCGAUGAAAGACGUAGUAACUUGCGAUAAGCCCAGAUUAGGUAGUAACAACCAUUUGAGUCUGGGAUUUCUGAAUGGGGAAACCCACUUACAUAAGUAAGUAUCCUUACCUGAAUACAUAGGGUAAGGAGGCGAACCGGGGGAACUGAAACAUCUAAGUACCCCGAGGAAAAGAAAUCAACC